rnacentral:rRNA from 1 species
UAAUACGUAGGGUGCGAGCGUUAAUCGGAAUUACUGGGCGUAAAGCGUGCGCAGGCGGUUCUGCAAGUCAGAUGUGAAAUCCCCGGGCUUAACCUGGGAACUGCGUUUGAAACUACGGAGCUAGAGUGCGGCAGAGGGGGGUGGAAUUCCACGUGUAGCAGUGAAAUGCGUAGAUAUGUGGAGGAACACCGAUGGCGAAGGCAGCCCCCUGGGCCGACACUGACGCUCAGGCACGAAAGCGUGGGGAGCAAACAGGAUUAGAUACCCUGGUAGUCCACGCCCUAAACUAUGUCAACUAGUUGUCGGGGAAGCAAUUCCUUGGUAACGAAGCUAACGCGUGAAGUUGACCGCCUGGGGAGUACGGUCGCAAGAUUAAAACUCAAAGGAAUUG